AGCCUGGUAGACAUCGAACCCCACAAGCAGAAUUAAACUGAUUAUAACACACAUUCUGGAUGAAGAAACCGUUCUCUGGGGGAGUGAGAACAGGACAAACCACCACUACAAAGAGAGCAAGUCUGGAUGUGUGAUGAAGGUCUGGGCAUGGCAGGCAGGUACCCAUUCCUCCAGAAACUGCUUCGGGUUUAUAUGUACCAGAUGGACAAGCUAAGGAAAGCAGGAGGGAAGGCCAGUCUUUAUGUAAAUAACAUCCAGCUGCUUCUUUAACAGUGACAGCACUGUUCUGAUGGGAUAUCAAAUCUGCUACUGAUGGGUGACCACUGCUUUUGAAACACUGGGCCAAAAGAGUCGGAAAGAUGGGCAGAGAGCAAAGAGAAGCAAACAAACAUGCAUGUGAAAAGAACAGAAACACCCAAAGAAAGCCUGACAGCGAAACUGAGACAGGAAGGGAGACGUAAACAGACAGAUGGAGGACAAGAAUGCAAGACAGGAAGACAACUAAAGGGAAAGACAGACAAUUUGAAAAAAGUGUGCAUCUGCGCUCAAGUGAGAGAACCAGACGUACAGAUGGAGGGAUGGAAUAAGUUAGUAAGAGGGAGGAACUGGCGAACAGGAGGGAUGAUUGGUUUCCUUUCACAAAAUACAGUAAUAAAAAAAAAAACGCUGGGAAAAAUGUCAAACAACUGGUUAUUAAAUUUCCGUACCUUAACACAAAUGUACUGAUGUUUUUACUGUGUCUACUGAAGACGUUUUGCUACUCGUCCAAUUUGUCUGAUGGCUGGAAUUCCCCAGCAUCCAAUAGCUGAUGAAGUCAUUGAGAUGGGUGGCUUCAA